rnacentral:rRNA from 1 species
CCCUUAGAUGUUCUGGGCUGCACGCGCGCUACACUGAUGCGAUCAACAAGUUUUUCCUAUGUCGAUAGACACGGGUAAUCUUUUGAACUCGCAUCGUGAUGGGGAUAGAUUAUUGUAAUUAUUAAUCUUCAACGAGGAAUUCCUAGUAGGUGCAAAUCAUCAGUUUGCAUCGAUUACGUCCCUGCCCUUUGUACACACCGCCCGUCGCUGCUACCGAUUGGUUGAUCUGGUGAAUCAUUCGGACUGCCGGCUGAAGGGGUUUCCUCAUCUGCCAGCGGAAAGUCUUGUUAACCCUAUCAACUAGAGGAAGCAGAAGUCGUAACA